GGCCCCAUAGCUCAGCUGGAUAGAGCAGCCGCCUUCUAAGCGGCAGGUCGCAGGUUCGAACCCUGCUGGGGUCGCCA
rnacentral:tRNA from 1 species